CCUACGGGGGGCAGCAGUGGGGAAUAUUGCACAAUGGGGGAAACCCUGAUGCAGCGACGCCGCGUGAGUGAAGAAGUAAUUCGUUAUGUAAAGCUCUAUCAGCAGGGAAGAAAAUGACGGUACCUGACUAAGAAGCCCCGGCCAACUACGUGCCAGCAGCCGCGGUAAUACGUAGGGGGCAAGCGUUAUUCGGAUUUACUGGGUGGAAAGGGAGCGUAGGCGGCAGUGCAAGUCUGGAGUGAAAGGCGGGGGCUCAACCCCCGGACGGCACUGGAAACUGUAUGGCUGGAGUGCAGGAGAGGUAAGUGGAAUUCCUGGUGUAGCGGUGAAAGGCGUAGAUAUUAGGAGGAACACCAGUGGCGAAGGCGGCUUACUGGACUGUAACUGACGUUGAGGAACGAAAGCGUGGAGAGCAAACGGGAUUAGAUACCCCAGUAGUC
rnacentral:rRNA from 1 species